ACUGAUCCUCAGGAGUUGGAUUGGAGUCUGAAGAAUCUCAGAUGCGAACUCAUAUUGCAGGGAUCCACGGGCCAAAUAAUCAGAUUUAAUUGGAACAAUUGGGGUAUUCUCAAUUUCAACAAAAGCCAAGAGGCUCGAUCAUACUUUGCUUCCAUCUGGGCAGCACCAUGGAUCUCAUUGAAGGUGGCUCAGAUCCUUAGACUUGGUGACAAUAAUGUGGUUGGCCUUUGGAUCCUCAUUGAUGACAUAGUGGGUCCUGCACACUCCCUGAACUCCAGCCUUAGAGAACAAGUAGAAAAGGACAAUCCCUCUGGAGCAACCUGCCUUUCUCAAGGACACAAUGGUGAUGGCUGUGGGGAUUGAACCAGCAACCAGUUAUGUGCUUUAGCCCACUAUGCCACCACCACUCACACUUAAAUCACUU